rnacentral:rRNA from 1 species
UUAAGCGACUAAGCGUACACGGUGGAUGCCCUGGCAGUCAGAGGCGAUGAAGGACGUGCUAAUCUGCGAUAAGCGUCGGUAAGGUGAUAUGAACCGUUAUAACCGGCGAUUUCCGAAUGGGGAAACCCAGUGUGAUUCGUCACACUAUCAUUAACUGAAUCCAUAGGUUAAUGAGGCGAACCGGGGGAACUGAAACAUCUAAGUACCCCGAGGAAAAGAAAUCAACCGAGAUUCCCCCAGUAGCGGCGAGCGAACGGGGAGGAGCCCAGAGCCUGAAUCAGUGUGUGUGUUAGUGGAAGCGUCUGGAAAGGCGCGCGAUACAGGGUGACAGCCCCGUACACAAAAAUGCACAUACUGUGAGCUCGAUGAGUAGGGCGGGACACGUGGUAUCCUGUCUGAAUAUGGGGGGACCAUCCUCCAAGGCUAAAUACUCCUGACUGACCGAUAGUGAACCAGUACCGUGAGGGAAAGGCGAAAAGAACCCCGGCGAGGGGAGUGAAAAAGAACCUGAAACCGUGUACGUACAAGCAGUGGGAGCACAGAGCAAUCUGUGUGACUGCGUACCUUUUGUAUAAUGGGUCAGCGACUUAUAUUCUGUAGCAAGGUUAACCGAAUAGGGGAGCCGAAGGGAAACCGAGUCUUAACUGGGCGUUAAGUUGCAGGGUAUAGACCCGAAACCCGGUGAUCUAGCCAUGGGCAGGUUGAAGGUUGGGUAACACUAACUGGAGGACCGAACCGACUAAUGUUGAAAAAUUAGCGGAUGACUUGUGGCUGGGGGUGAAAGGCCAAUCAAACCGGGAGAUAGCUGGUUCUCCCCGAAAGCUAUUUAGGUAGCGCCUCGUGAAUUCAUCUCCGGGGGUAGAGCACUGUUUCGGCAAGGGGGUCAUCCCGACUUACCAACCCGAUGCAAACUGCGAAUACCGGAGAAUGUUAUCACGGGAGACACACGGCGGGUGCUAACGUCCGUCGUGAAGAGGGAAACAACCCAGACCGCCAGCUAAGGUCCCAAAGUCAUGGUUAAGUGGGAAACGAUGUGGGAAGGCCCAGACAGCCAGGAUGUUGGCUUAGAAGCAGCCAUCAUUUAAAGAAAGCGUAAUAGCUCACUGGUCGAGUCGGCCUGCGCGGAAGAUGUAACGGGGCUAAACCAUGCACCGAAGCUGCGGCAGCGACACUGUGUGUUGUUGGGUAGGGGAGCGUUCUGUAAGCCUGUGAAGGUGUGCUGUGAGGCAUGCUGGAGGUAUCAGAAGUGCGAAUGCUGACAUAAGUAACGAUAAAGCGGGUGAAAAGCCCGCUCGCCGGAAGACCAAGGGUUCCUGUCCAACGUUAAUCGGGGCAGGGUGAGUCGACCCCUAAGGCGAGGCCGAAAGGCGUAGUCGAUGGGAAACAGGUUAAUAUUCCUGUACUUGGUGUUACUGCGAAGGGGGGACGGAGAAGGCUAUGUUGGCCGGGCGACGGUUGUCCCGGUUUAAGCGUGUAGGCUGGUUUUCCAGGCAAAUCCGGAAAAUCAAGGCUGAGGCGUGAUGACGAGGCACUACGGUGCUGAAGCAACAAAUGCCCUGCUUCCAGGAAAAGCCUCUAAGCAUCAGGUAACAUCAAAUCGUACCCCAAACCGACACAGGUGGUCAGGUAGAGAAUACCAAGGCGCUUGAGAGAACUCGGGUGAAGGAACUAGGCAAAAUGGUGCCGUAACUUCGGGAGAAGGCACGCUGAUAUGUAGGUGAAGUCCCUCGCGGAUGGAGCUGAAAUCAGUCGAAGAUACCAGCUGGCUGCAACUGUUUAUUAAAAACACAGCACUGUGCAAACACGAAAGUGGACGUAUACGGUGUGACGCCUGCCCGGUGCCGGAAGGUUAAUUGAUGGGGUCAGCGCAAGCGAAGCUCUUGAUCGAAGCCCCGGUAAACGGCGGCCGUAACUAUAACGGUCCUAAGGUAGCGAAAUUCCUUGUCGGGUAAGUUCCGACCUGCACGAAUGGCGUAAUGAUGGCCAGGCUGUCUCCACCCGAGACUCAGUGAAAUUGAACUCGCUGUGAAGAUGCAGUGUACCCGCGGCAAGACGGAAAGACCCCGUGAACCUUUACUAUAGCUUGACACUGAACAUUGAGCCUUGAUGUGUAGGAUAGGUGGGAGGCUUUGAAGUGUGGACGCCAGUCUGCAUGGAGCCGACCUUGAAAUACCACCCUUUAAUGUUUGAUGUUCUAACGUGGACCCGUGAUCCGGGUUGCGGACAGUGUCUGGUGGGUAGUUUGACUGGGGCGGUCUCCUCCUAAAGAGUAACGGAGGAGCACGAAGGUUGGCUAAUCCUGGUCGGACAUCAGGAGGUUAGUGCAAUGGCAUAAGCCAGCUUGACUGCGAGCGUGACGGCGCGAGCAGGUGCGAAAGCAGGUCAUAGUGAUCCGGUGGUUCUGAAUGGAAGGGCCAUCGCUCAACGGAUAAAAGGUACUCCGGGGAUAACAGGCUGAUACCGCCCAAGAGUUCAUAUCGACGGCGGUGUUUGGCACCUCGAUGUCGGCUCAUCACAUCCUGGGGCUGAAGUAGGUCCCAAGGGUAUGGCUGUUCGCCAUUUAAAGUGGUACGCGAGCUGGGUUUAGAACGUCGUGAGACAGUUCGGUCCCUAUCUGCCGUGGGCGCUGGAGAACUGAGGGGGGCUGCUCCUAGUACGAGAGGACCGGAGUGGACGCAUCACUGGUGUUCGGGUUGUCAUGCCAAUGGCACUGCCCGGUAGCUAAAUGCGGAAGAGAUAAGUGCUGAAAGCAUCUAAGCACGAAACUUGCCCCGAGAUGAGUUCUCCCUGACCCUUUAAGGGUCCUGAAGGAACGUUGAAGACGACGACGUUGAUAGGCCGGGUGUGUAAGCGCAGCGAUGCGUUGAGCUAACCGGUACUAAUGAACCGUGAGGCUUAACCU